GCAGGUGGGGCAGGGAGGCAAGAAGGGGAUAACACACUCUUAACAUCCUGGACCUGAUGAUCCCUAUGGGUCCCUUCCAGUUUGGGAUAUUCCAUGAUUCUGUGAUUCUUUAUGAGAGAGGGAGGGAAAGAAGUAAGAUUAGAGCAGAACCCUGUAUCAUUGAACAGAUGUUAAAACAGCUCUCUCAGCAGGAGAAAAAGAAUAAAGAGAGAAAGUUGUGAAACCCAAAUUCUGGAGCUCUGUCAAGCCCCAGGGCAUGUGGUGAAAAUGCCAGCCACAGGAAAGGGAUCCUGGUGGAAACUUCCCCUUCACCUUUGAUGUGAUGGAUGCAGAUGGCAACAAACUGAUGGACCGGGUUUUUUACAUCCAUGUCAUAGAGGACAGAUUUCCCCCCUCCAUCAUCACUAACGAGGGGCUGGUGUUGGAUGAGAACUCGGCAAAGACAAUCAGAACCCUCCAGCUCUCGGCCACUGACCAGGACAGCGAAGCCUCCCAGCUCCAGUUGAAGGUCACCUGGCAGCCACAGCUGGGGCAUCUGGAGCACGUGGCUUCCCCAGGAAAAACAUGCCCAGAGGCAGCGACACACAAUUCCAGUUCCUGUUAGAAAUCAAAGCUAAAAUAAAUGAGCCCAGAGGGUUAGGGAAUAAGGUGAGUGGAGGCAGAGCAGCCCAAUAAUCCCAGUUUAGGAUUUAUUCAGCCUCUGGGCCAGUUUCUGGCCCUACUGCUGCUUCUGCAGUAGGUUUUCCUUUUCUCCCAGGAAAACCUUUGGCCUUUGCUGUGAACA